ensembl:lncRNA
CUGCACAGUUCCUUCCAAUUCUUGGGCCUGUGCCCUGCACCCCUCACGCGCAAUGCUCAUUUUUCUCCCCCAAAGACCACGUUACUUAAAUAACCUUUAUUUUUUUUCUCAUGCUUUGAAGAGGGACUGAUUUGAAAUCUCAUAUUUCACAGCAAUGAAAAACACAGUUCCAGCUUGGCCAGUGACAAAGACAUCGAGGGAUUAAGGAGGGGAGAGGCACAAAUGGGGCCUCCCCGGCACUCUCUCACCAAGAGCCAGCUCCCCUGGCCGCCCCGUGCUUUGGCUGAGGCGGGCCCCCUCCUCUUCAGCGGCACAAAAAGCUACAACAUGAGUUCGUCUGGGCGGGCAGUGAGGAGGGAAGCCGCCGGCCUUGGGCCCGGCCUGUACCCUUCCUCCUACCCCGCCACACCCACCAGGAAUGGGCACGGAGACAGGACCAGCCACAGAAUGGCAAUGGCAACGUGAGAAGAGGGGAACCCACCAGUAACAGCUGGAGAGGUGCCGCCUUGACCAGGGCCAGGGCAAAUACAGCAGCCCCAGCCUUCAGGCAGGAUGCAGCCGACCCGAGCACCCCCGGGCAGUCUGUAGCCACAGGGCCAGCGACACCUAUCCCAGAGCACCGAGCAGCUCUAGAAAACCCGCUCCCCAACCACACAAACACCCCUGUCCACAGCUGCCUGAGGCGUGUGGCUGCCAGGCUUCUGAAAGGCUGUGGAGUGCCAGGCAGGAGGGAGGAGCCUGCCAGGGCAGUACUGGGCAUGGGGGAAGGAGCCUCCCUGGGCAGUGCCCGGCAGGAGGGAGGAGCUUCCCUGGGCAAUGCCCACCAGAAGGGAGGAGCCUCCCAGGGAUAGCGCCCAGGCAGGAGGGAGGAGCCUAUCCAGGCAGUGCCCGGCAGGAGGGAGGAGCCUCUCCAGGCAGUGCCCGGCAGGAGGGAGAAGCCUCCCUGGGCAGUGCUGGGCCCAGCCCUUUUGCGUCACAACACAUAAUUCAGCCCCAAAGAGCUCCA